rnacentral:rRNA from 1 species
CUUUCGAAAGAAAGAUUAAUACCCGAUGGUAUAAUUAGACCGCAUGGUCUUGUUAUUAAAGAAUUUCGGUUAUCGAUGGGGAUGCGUUCCAUUAGGCAGUUGGUGAGGUAACGGCUCACCAAACCUUCGAUGGAUAGGGGUUCUGAGAGGAAGGUCCCCCACAUUGGAACUGAGACACGGUCCAAACUCCUACGGGAGGCAGCAGUGAGGAAUAUUGGUCAAUGGGCGCAGGCCUGAACCAGCCAAGUAGCGUGAAGGAUGACUGCCCUAUGGGUUGUAAACUUCUUUUAUAUGGGAAUAAAGUUUUCCACGUGUGGAAUUUUGUAUGUACCAUAUGAAUAAGGAUCGGCUAACUCCGUGCCAGCAGCCGCGGUAAUACGGAGGAUCCGAGCGUUAUCCGGAUUUAUUGGGUUUAAAGGGAGCGUAGGUGGACAGUUAAGUCAGUUGUGAAAGUUUGCGGCUCAACCGUAAAAUUGCAGUUGAUACUGGCUGUCUUGAGUACAGUAGAGGUGGGCGGAAUUCGUGGUGUAGCGGUGAAAUGCUUAGAUAUCACGAAGAACUCCGAUUGCGAAGGCAGCUCACUGGACUGCAACUGACACUGAUGCUCGAAAGUGUGGGUAUCAAACAGGAUUAGAUACCCUGGUAGUCCACACAGUAAACGAUGAAUACUCGCUGUUUGCGAUAUACAGUAAGCGGCCAAGCGAAAGCAUUAAGUAUUCCACCUGGGGAGUACGCCGGCAACGGUGAAACUCAAAGGAAUUGACGGGGGCCCGCACAAGCGGAGGAACAUGUGGUUUAAUUCGAUGAUACGCGAGGAACCUUACCCGGGCUUAAAUUGCAUUUGAAUAUAUUGGAAACAGUAUAGCCGUAAGACAAAUGUGAAGGUGCUGCAUGGUUGUCGUCAGCUCGUGCCGUGAGGUGUCGGCUUAAGUGCCAUAACGAGCGCAACCCUUAUCUUUAGUUACUAACAGGUCAUGCUGAGGACUCUAGAGAGACUGCCGUCGUAAGAUGUGAGGAAGGUGGGGAUGACGUCAAAUCAGCACGGCCCUUACGUCCGGGGCUACACACGUGUUACAAUGGGGGGUACAGAAGGCAGCUACCUGGUGACAGGAUGCUAAUCCCAAA